CUACGGAGGGUGCAAGCGUUAUUCGGAAUCACUGGGCGUAAAGGACGCGUAGGCGGGUUGGCAAGUCAGAGGUGAAAUCCUACAGCUUAACUGUAGAACUGUAUUUGAAACUGCUAAUCUAGAGUAUGGGAGGGGGAGAUGGAAUUAGUGGUGUAGGGGUAAAAUCCGUAGAUAUCACUAGGAAUACCGAAAGCGAAGGCGAUCUCCUGGAACAUAACUGACGCUAAGGCGUGAAAGCGUGGGGAGCAAACAGGAUUAGAAACCCUAGUAGUCC
rnacentral:rRNA from 1 species